rnacentral:lncRNA from 1 species
UUGGGGUGUCUUUUCAUUUAAUUUGUAUCAUCUUCAGUUUCCUUCAUCAAUGUCUUAUACUUUUCAGUGUAUUAAUCUUUCACCUCUGUGGUUAAAUUUAUUCAUACGUAUUUUAUUAUUUUUGAUACAAUCAAACAUUUUUCCUUAUUUUCUCUGAUACUUUGUUAUUAGUAGAGAGCAAAAUGACAGAUUUCUGUACAUUGUGUGUACUUCGAUUUACUGAAUUUAUGCUAAUGUUGAUGAAGUCUUUAGGGUUUUCUCUGUAUUAUCAUGUCAUCUGCAAACAGUGACAUUUUUACUUCCUUUACAAACUCGAUCCAUUUCUUUUGUUUUUUUGUCUUUUUGCAAUGGCCAGGAGUGUUGAUACUGUGUUGAUGAAAAGUGGUGAGAGCAAGCAUCUUGCCCUGCUUUACCUUUACCCUAUAUUCCUGCUCGAAAAACAGGCGCAGUGCUGGCAGAUGACUUAAGCUUAAGAACAAAGACCUGAAGGCAUAAGUUAUUCAUGUGGUCAGCUGAAUGAGGACAUAAUGCGUUGGUCUAGGCAUGCUGGACCUGUGCAGAUAGGCAUGCUGUUUGCACAGCAUGAUACAUCCUCUUAAGAAUAAGAGGAAGAUGAGCCUCCUGGCCCCAAGGGAUUUAUGAGAGGUCCUUAGUAGGAUAUGCAUCAGCAAGGAGAACCGAGGUGCAAACCUAGGCACACAGGGUUGCUGCAGAUAGGCAUGCUGUCUGCAGAAGCACAGCGGUGAUUCUCUAGAUGCUAUGCAUAGAUGGGAGGCACCUAGCUUCCUCAGUGCUAAGGACUGUUAAAUGCCUAAAGGAUAAAAGCUUAAUCAGCAACCGGCUAUGGGGCUUUUAAAAUAAUAAUAAAAAAACCUAUAUCCUGCAUCUAUCGGCCCCUCCUCACUUGCCGUCAUCCUAAAGAGCACAAUGAAAACAGUGUGGUUUCUUGAGGCAGCGCUCUUGGUCCCUGAGACCUUGAGUGCCCCAGUUCCCACCUUUGAUUAAGAUAAAUGUCUCUGUGUCUUGUUUUAUGUUAACUUUUUCUUAAGUUUCACAGCACCCAUCCUUCAGCGCUCACCUGCUGAGCUGGUCUUGGCAGACCUGGGAAAUCGGGUUCCUUCUCCAGGCUAGGAAAUUCAUCAGUUAGUAUGUCCUCCAAAUUCUCUGCCCCCUUCUCUCUUUCUCCCCUUUCUGGGACCCCUAUAAUGCUGUUAAUAUUCUUGAUGUUGUCUAAGAGGUCCUUUUACCCAUCAUCUCUUGUUUACUUCUUGCUAUUCAACUUUUGUGAUUUUCACUAUUGUCUUCCGGGUCACUGAUCUAAUUCUUCUGUAAUAUAUAAUGUUGCUUCCCUCCAGUGUGUGUGUGUAAUCUCAGUUGUAUUUUGAGCUGUUUGCUCUUUUAUAUUUUAAUAUUCUUUGUUGAAGUUCUGAUUUAUUACUCUUUGUUGAAGUUCUAACUAUGUCCCUCUAUUAUUCUCCUAACUUGAGUGAGCACCUUUAUAAUCGUGGAUGCCUUUUUUUCAGGUAGAAUGCUUGUCUCAGCUUUGUCUAGUACUUUUCCUGCUGCUGUCUUGUUACUUCAUUUGUAACAUUUACUUUCUUGUUUCCAUAUUCUCUGUGCAUUUCUAUUCAUUAGGUUUGGUUCAUUGCAUUUCCCAGUCACAGAGAAGUGGCCUUAUCUACAGGGCCCAAUAGCACAUUCCCUUUUGGCCAGCAGAGCCAGACGCUCUGGGGGGAGGGUCCCCCAUGUGGAAUGCCUGCACCUUUUUGCAGUGGCAGGGCCAGGUACUGUGGACUAGCUGGUAGGUGGCAUUGGACCCUGGCCUAAAUGGCUGAGGCCCUGCAUUAUGUGAUUGCUGUGGGUGUGCUGGAGGGCACGCAGCCCUCUGUUACGGAGAGCUGUGUGGUGCUCAGGUAGUGGGGUGGGCCCCAAGUGUGCCUGGUUGUGAGGCCUUGUGUUGCAGAGGUGCUGUAGGCAUGGUGGUGGAUGGGAAAGACCCUAAUGCUAAUCAGUUAGAUAAUCAUUUCAUGAUGUAUUUUAGUCAAAUUAUUAUGCUGUACACCUUAAACAGUGUUGUAUGUCAAUUAUAUCUCAAUAAAAGUUAAAGGAAAAAAUGAAUAAUACCUUAAUAAACCUAACUUAGGAAAAAAAGUUAUAGCAAGAUUAAGUGAAUCCCCCACCAGACUUCCAUGUCUUUGUUGUUAGGAAAUCUAUCAAUAUAAUUUACCACCUUAUAAAUUUAGGAAAGGCCUGGGAUCAACUUUACAGAUGCGAACAAAGUAGCAUGGUAGAAUUGUAUAGGUAAUACUUAUAAAAAUAAAGAAGGUAUUAAUGCAUAUGUACUCAAAGAAAUGUUACAUACCCCCAAUACUAGUUCAUCUAGAAAAGUAGUAUAGAUUAAUAAUUCUCAUUCUGACAGAAAAUUAAUGAGAAAACACCGACCUGCAUAACACUUUAGAGAAGUAAACCAAGGAGUUCCCGUCAUGGCUCAGUGGUUAACAAAUCCGACUAGGAACCAUGAGGUUGCAGGUAUGAUCCCUGGCCUCGCUCCUGGGUUAAGGAUCCGUCGUUGCCAUGAGCUGUGGUGUAGGUCGCAGACGUGGCUCGAUCUGGCGUUGCUGUGGCUCUGGUGUUGGCCUGCAGCUACAGUUCCGAUUAGACCCCUAGCCUGGGAACCUCCAUAUGCCAUGAGUGCAGCCCUAAAANAAAAAAAAAAAAAAAAAAAAAA